rnacentral:lncRNA from 10 species
GGAGCACGCAGCUCUGGCCUUGCCUUCCCUGCUGCAGCCAGCGUCUUCAGAGCAGCUUCUCAAGAUGGGCAGCCACUGCCAUCAGAAGUCCAAAACAAGAAUUCCUGACUGGCAAUUUCUUCAACUGUUUCAAAUGCUGGAGCAUAGCACACAUGAAGCAAUCCACCGAGGAAGCUCUGCUCAUCCAUUUUUCUCUUGGCUGUCCUUGCACUUUGGUCUCACUCUAUCAGCAAGACUGGAGUGCAGUGGCACGAUUUCAACUCACUGCAACCUCUGCCUCCUGGGUUCAAGUGAUUCUUGUGCCUCAGCCUCCCAAGAUUUAACAUUUCUUUGGAUAUUUUGUGUGUGAAACAGUGUAAAUAUUAUUUAAAUGUAGACUAUGAUUAAUUAAAUAUGUAUAUUGUAAGCCUUAAGUCAACCACGAAAUUUUCUUAAAAAUAAUGAAGUCAAUAUAGGUAAUAAAAGGGUCUCAUAAGUAUUGCCCAAUUAAUCUAAAAGAGAAACAGAAAAAAGAGAAGAGAACAAUAUUUUUAAAAGAACACAUGGAAGAAAUAGAAAACAACUGUCACAAUGGUAAAUUUUGACCAACCACCAGUAAUAUUAAAUGUGAAUGGCCUAAGUUCACCAAUUAAAAGAUGGAGAUUGUUAGAUUGAAUUAAAAUUAAAACAAAUUAAACUAUGUGCUAUCUACAAGAAACCUUUUUCAAAUAUGAAGUUAAGGAAAGG